CAUAAUAUUAAGUGCAAGAAAAGAAAUAAUUAAAAAAAGGAAACCUAUUGAUUUUUCCCAGUCAAAUCAAACAGCCUAGCCACCAUUAAUUCUAUCGUCUUUUCAUAUCACCAACUUCGUCUGCUCAGCAGAUAGCCCUUCCAAAAAAGAUUUUUCAUUUGCCUGCUAUCUUUGACUACUCCAUUUCUUCACUACAAAUGGUUUCAGUCUAGAUUUCUUCUCUAUCUUCCUUAUGGAGCCAGAUCUCUGUGGUUUAGCUCUUCCCCCACCAGGGAUGAGAUAUUAUAAUGGAGGAUCGCCUUUGAGGCUUUAAACUCACCCAUUUGGUCCCGAACCACAAAACCUAAAGUCGAUCUAAAACAUCUUUUGUCAAAAGCUGUAUCAAACUGUAUCAUAGCCCUCGUUGUCGCCCCUAUUUGAUGGUAAACUCUUUCGGUAUUAAAGGUGUAGAUCUCGAUCUUGGCUAUCCUUCUUCAUAUUGUAGGAGACCAAUAUGCAAGGUGUGCCGAUUUCAAACAGAAACCUAAUAAAAAAACCUAAAACUCUUGCCAGAGACGACAGACAAUAACAAUAUUUUUUUCUUUAAUACGCCUAUAUCAAGAACUUCAUCAA